rfam:Jatropha curcas cultivar GZQX0401 scaffold78_109, whole genome shotgun sequence.
AAACUAUGAUGUGGGCACUUUCUAAGUAAGUCAUUGAAUCUCUCCCAAGCUUAAUACAAACUCUCUUAGGCAUGGUGGACAAAGGUCAUUAUCUCAUUGCGCAACUU